UCCUAGGGGGCUGCUGGCCACAUCUUAAAAACUCCCAAAUGUAAAUUCACAAAAUCCAUCUUGCUUGUUUUUCUAUAAUUUUAUUAUUAACAUAUGUAUGUUUCCAUUUUCUUCCCUCUUGUCAUUAAUUGAAAGAAUUACAGGUAAUCAAAAGUGGCAAAUAUUGAUGGAAAUUCUGUUAACUGGCUGUUAUUUCCAAUUGAGAGUAUUCAUUUUUCUGGAAAUCAUAUCCUACUGAGUCACUAUGAAGAUGGCCUCGAUGGCUUCUACUUCACUUACUCCCAUAAGCAUAACUGGUCCUAAGUGGGAUUUUUUCAUUUUGGUCAGACUUUGACCCUGAUUGCAACAAAAUCCGGAGGCAGAUAUUCACACCGGAGCGCCCCGCCUCCCCGCGUGUCAGAAGCCAUAUCGCCGCAAAUGCCUCACACACCUCGGAGCGCAGCUUGUGGAACUGAUGAGGGCAAUAUUCUCAAAAGUCGAUGUUACUGAUUGAUCUGAGAUCUCCUUUUACUUUCUAUGAGAAAAACCUACCACCAGCUGCCCCAAAAUUCCCAUAUUCAGGAGAGCAUGGCUGGGAGCCUUGUGAGUUUUCCUGAAGGUGUUGAAUGAGAAGGCCAUGGCCAUGAUCACUUCCUCAAUGGCGUCUUGCACUGAUUGUGUUUUAAGGCUCAUUAUGAAUUGCAGGCAUGGCAGGAGCCCCAAGCAACCAUGCAAGAAAUUCAACUGCCUGAAGCCCCUGUGCUAUAAAGGAGCCCAAGCCAUAUGAAAAGGCCAGGCUCUGCAGCCAACAGCCCCCAAGCUGACCUCCCAGCUGCCCGCCAUCUUGGAUACCCAGUCUCGGUGAGCCUUCAGAUGCAAGUGUUUCCUGGACGUCAGUGUACUUUCUGGAUGAAGCUGGCAAAGACAGCCAUCCCCACCAACGAUGACGACUGUAGAAUUUUAAAGGGUGAUUGGUUAUGGUGCCUAGAAGGUAAUAAAGACAACUGGCUACCCAUGAUGUUCAUCGAGGACUGGUUUGCUAUAAUUCCUCUCUGGGGCGGGAUAAAGUGUAUUUGCCCUUUCCUACUCCCCAUUUGGACAGUAAGUCUAGGGGAGAUGAUGUGGCAUAACAGAAAUGCCAUUAAAGCCCAAAGCAGGGCACUGGGCUUUACUUCUGGCUGGGCAAUGACUACCUUUCUAUCUUAAGAACACUGCUUCACUUUUUGGAUCCCAUGACUUCAUCCCUCAUCUCAGGGAGGUUUCAAAUUCUGAGAAAAUUCCAGAAAUCUUUCUACUGACACCCUUGGGGAAGGCUGUCUUCUCUUUCAAGCUGGAGGAAAUUUGAGAGAGCCACUGGGUGUAGAAGAGUCUGGGUUAUUUCCAGCAUGGGGUAAGGAAGAAACAGGAAAAGGUGCUGGUGUUUAAGGACCUCCAACUGCGAGAAGGGCAUGGACCACGCAGCUCUCUGGGGAGGUAAGAAAAGGCUCAGCAUUGUCUGCAAAUUACUAGACUGCUGGAUCCACGUGAGUGGGACCAUGUCCACUGCGUUCGGGUCUGUAUCCCCAGAACCUCACAUCGUGCCUGGCAUGUGGUAGGUUAUCGGAGGCAGAUUUACCAUAAAGCAAAUAAACCUUAAGCUUCAGGGUCCCUUCCAUUUGCAUUCGAAGAAACAUUCACUUUUAUGCCUAACUUUGUAUUUGCAGUUUUAUAUUCAUUUUCAUAACGGGGUCUCCCAACCAUUACAAACUUCAAGCCCCACACAACCUAUACAUCUGCCUCCUGUCGGCAUGCAAUAAACACUUAUUGACCUAAUGAGAAAAAAAAUUUUUAAAAAAGAAAAGGAAGGAAGGAAGGAUGAAAACGUAAACAAAAAAAAAGAAGAAAAAAAAAGAGGAAUAGCAGCUGGGAGGAUCAGAUCCAACCUGGAUCAUCAGAGGCAGCCUUCUUAAACCAUUCCCAAACAUCAAUAGACGAUGAUUUACCUCAAUUAAUUCAGACUGUUAAAAGCUUAGUUCUUAUUUGACAACCAGAGGCUAGAGGCCAACGUAUUUAAGCCUCUCCUAGAGCAUUCUGAGAGAUUGCAGUAAGGGUUGCAAGCAUUUCCAGAGGCAGGAGAGGUGAGUAUGGGGGAGUUUUGUGUUUGGCGCCAUGCCAGGUACUUUCACAUACCUCGUCCCACUUAAUUUAUUGUCCCCACUUCAAAGACGAGGCAACUGAAGGUCAGAAAGGUGGAUCAUUUUCCUUAAAGUCAUGAGACUAUUAACCGGUAAAGUUGGGAUUUAAACUUUGAUCUGUUGCGCCCCAAAUCCUAUGUGUUCUCCAUGAUUCCAUGCUGUUCCACGGUGAGAAAAUAGACGGUCUAUUUGUAGGUUGUAAAAAAAAUCUUAAAAGAAAAAAAAUCACCCAGGAGAAAAUAGGAGACUGAAGUGAAUAGCGAUUAGUGGACAUUACGGAUUAGUUGAUGACUUUGUGACCAGUGGCAUCCGUUAUUCUGUUGCUUAUUAGAACAAGACCCGUGCCAUUCAGUGUAGACUGGGAAGAAUCCAUGCACUUGAGCCACAGGAACUUUAAGAAACAGUGCAUUUGGAGGAGUGAUUUGAAACAGAGCCUGAAGAUGGUUCAAAGAUCAAAUCUGAGGAAGUCGUAAUCAGAGGGAUCAAAAAAAGAUGUUGAGAUUGAAGUGAUAAAAAAUAACUUCUUGGUGGAAUUUUAAUUUCUUUGUAGUUCCGCAAAGCUCUUAGUUAUUCAUUCCUUGUAGUAGGAAGUCUUCAAAGAAGUCAUCUUUUUUGGACACCGCAGUGUGUGCAGGGCAGUUGUGGGAAUUGUGGUGCAUUCAGGAAACACAUGCUGUCAUCUCUUCCCAUGUCACUAACAGGAUGGUUAGGGGCCUUGAUACAUACAGGCCUACAACACCAGCCAACAGUCGCUGCCAUGAUGGAGGGCACAUUAUGAACGGGUAGGAAAUACAUGGUUACUUUUAUGGACUUCCUGACCUUUUUUCUGUGCCUCACCGUUUAGAACGUGGUUUCAUGUGCAUCUUCACAGCAAUCCUGUGAAAUAGGCAGAGAGGGUAUUGCUACUCUCCCAGUAUGCAGGCGAAGAAGGAAAGGAGGUUGCAAAGAGGGGAAGUGAAUUGCCAAAGGCCAUCCAGCUGCUGAGUGGGAGUCCCACUAAUUUCCUCAGAUUCCCAGGCCUGUGUACAUUUUACCAAUCAUUCUUUACAGAGUUACAUUUUACUGGGCAGCGUCUGAAGUACCCAAAGCAUUUUUAACAAUGCGGCAUAUUUCCUAGUCACUGAAUUGAGAACUAAUGCACUAUUUUGACUCAUUAUUAAAAAGCGUGAGAGUAGAAGUCUACGCCUUUGGAAUUGGGAUAAAGACUUGGUUGGCCACAUCUCAGCAGUUGACCAGUGGUGUGCUAGUAAAGUGGCUCUGGGGGCAGGGGUGAGGGGUGGUUGGGUGAGUGUCUGGGAACAAAUGUAGCAUUUGCUCAUUUCCAUCGUGUAAACACUCCCACUGUAGCCAAUUUGAAGCUACCAACAGUUAAAGAUCUACUUCCGGGAAUUCCUGAAUAUUUAACAAAAGGCUCUUAGCCGGUGAGAAGCUAGCCCGCUGCUGACAGUGGUCUCUUCUGUCUUUUCUACUCUUAUUUUUGGACCUAAGAAGCAUCUUGAGAGAAAAUUCUGGACCUGACUUGAAAAUCUUGAGUCCAGUACUGUGGUUAUGCUUUCCCUUCUUUAUUUGUGCCUGUCCAUUAGGAUACAAAUUCAUAUUCUGUAUCUCAUUGAUUUUUUAAAAGUGGCUUGACUUUAUCUGUCUGACAUACACAAGCUGACUACAUUAUUGAUAAUUACUUCUCCUUCUUAAUUCUUAAAGAACAAUGUACUCGUGGAUCUGAAAGUCAGACUUCUAGGGCCGAUAAGAAAGACGUGCUUUCAUUUAAAUGUUCUUCCUUUCCUCGUCAUCAGCAACAUUUCUAUAUAGGACUAAUCCAUUUGAGAUCUCCACCUUUGCCGAAUUUAAUGUAGCUCAGUGUCAAUGAAUGUCUAAUUCCGGGUUUCUGACUUUCUGGCGCUCCUUGCCUUACUGGCACUACCUUACCAUGAUUAAGUCAAAAGACCUGCUUUGUUCACGUUGCUCUGAAAAUCUGAAGUGCAAGGUAUCCAUUCAGUUUUAUUUCUCCCUGGUGGGUACAGCUCUCAUUGGCUACUAAUGAGAAUUACAAAUGUGGCUUAAGGAGAAACUCGUGCCUUUGGACUUGAGGGGCUGGUUAUUUAAAGAUGUAUGGCCAUGGCACUUAAGGAAAAUGAUUUAUCUGUUUUGUUUUGUCCUCCUAUAAAUCAAGAAUACAGCACAGCAUUAAACAUUCCUCAAUAUUUAUGCUAAUAUAAAUUUGGGUUUACAUACUUGACACUAAUUCAGGAGGAGCAGUGGUGUUAGAAUAAUGGCUACCUGCGACAGGGCACGGGUGUUCCUGAACGGCCACUUUAACUCUUUAUUAGGCUGUGGAUGUUCCCUUGUGGAGCAGACACGGCAGGUAUUCCCCGUCUCAGGCACAGUUUCUCUGGUAGGUGCAUUCUGACCAUGCUUUCGGUUUUUCAUUUGGUUUAGUUCGGGGCAUUAGGUCAGCAACUGUAUUUAUAAAUGUCUUACUAAGGAGUCAUCCGGAACAGAGUGAAGCGACAGGACGAGCUCUGUGGGAACUCGGAACCCAGGAGGUUUGGCUGUGUCUGUACAUCUUGGAACAGUCUAUGGAUCCGGCGAGCCAACACGUACAGUGCAGACAUUUCUAAGGACAGGUUUCACGACCACUAACCUAAAAUUCUUUCCUGCCGUUGUGUUGGCAUCACCUGGAGGUGACUGACCCUCUCCAAUUCCUCAACGCCUUUGUGCUUCAGUUUCCUCACAAGUAAAGCGGGGAUACUCACAGGACUCGCCUGGGGAGGAUUGCUGUGACAGCAGGCGACACCAAUGCAGCACAUCGCACACGGCGUAUGCAUGCAGAGGUGGGCUCAACACAGGUCCUCGGGCUUGGCGCUCGCCACGUGCGGGUGGAAUCCCGAUUGUGUCUUUGCACUCUUGGUCCCACUGGAGUAUUUGUGAAAGUCCGUCGGACCCCAACAGUCACAGGCAAUCUUCUGAGAUGUUUUGUUAGAGCUUCCCCCAAUUAGUCCGAAGGAGGAGCUGAGAGCCCGGCUGGGGUUCACUGCGCUGCAAGUGUCUUCAGUGCCUACCUGCCCUGUGUGAAUCGGGCCAGUCUCUGAUUCGUUGCCCGACUGGCCUUUGCGGAGAGAGCCCCGCAAUGCUACUGUCCGCAUUUCUUGGUGUCUGAGUGCAUUUUUGAUGUUACCUAUCUGCAUGCAUCCCCCAAAUGCACACAUUUAAUUUGGUACUAGGUUUCCUUUGAAGAUAUAACGGAUGUGGACUGACCACCAUAUCGCCCAUGAAAAUUUGGAACUUCUUUGAUUACUUUUGAUGCAAAAUACAAUGAGAAUUCAAGGCCUUAUUAUUAUUCCUGCUAACCAGGAGACACGCCAGGUUUAAAGUCAGAUUUGUUUCUGUGUUAAUAAUACAUUUGUAUUACCCUUCCUUGCAGUCCCCGUCUCUUCUCCUGCUAUCUUCACUGUGAGUUUGCACUUGUCAAAAUGAAUAAUAUGCGGCAUCAAUUCAAACUCCACUUUUCCAGUGUGUUCAGCCGUAAUAGUUUCACUUUGCCUUGAUUCUGUUGAUUGCUAUUAAAUCCUGGAUUGCUUUAAAUUCCGUGAGCUAGUCCUCAAAGUAUCGCUUAUAAAUUGUGUGCAUUUAUUAGAAUCUUGCUUAGAACAAAGAGCAUCCAAGCUUCUGGAAACACUGCCUUCCACUUCUGCUCUCUGUGUAGAAGAGGCUAUAGAAACACGUUUUAUCUUUUGAGAAACAAAUUGUGCAAGAAGUGAAUAUAAUACAUUGUUGGAGGUGGGAUUUUUGUUUGUCUUGUUUUAUUCUUUUAUUUUCUUUUUUAUCUGGUGGAGGAAUAAAAUAAUCCAAACCCAACACACUUUAGAGAAGAGUGUGGACUGGGGCCAAGAUUCAUAAUAAAUUUCUUUGCGUCCAUCUGUACAAUAUUGAUGUAAAUGAGGUGUUAGUUGAAUUUAUUAUGGGGCAUUGUUCCUAGGUAAUUCAUCUGGGUUUCAAAAGCCAACCUCCAGCUCUUUUAUUCUUAGAAGUAUGGUUGGUAUAGACUACAUUUUAAGAGAUCCUGUCAAAUAAGAGUGUUGCAAAUACCAAGUCUAUUUUUUUCUGUUUUAGAGAGUUGGACCUGCUUCAGACAACAGCUCAUCCAAAGUGGAGUUAAGUCAAGCUGAGUGAGUAUGGUAAAUAAAAUGUAGUGCCUGUCAGGUGUUGGAUAAUCACACUCUGCAAGUAUAGCUGUGUACUGGGUGCUGGGCAUGUAGCCUUAGGAGGCAUCGUCCUAAAAAACACUAUGUGGGAGGAAGAGAAGAACAAUGAAGUUUGCCAUGAUGCUAAUGAACUUUAAGCUUUAGGGUCCCUCAUUGGUAAGCUGCUCCAUCAUCAGCUCCAAGACCCUGGGUAGGGUCCAGGUAAUAUGCUCACAGAGCCGCAUGUUUUGUAAAGUUUGGACAAGUAAGAUAUUUAAAUGCAAUCGGUUAAGACCCCCGUCUUUGUCUACUCCGGCUUCCCCUCGAUGCUUCCCCAGUCGGUAGCCAGUGUGCUUGGAAUGGCCACCAGUAGUUUGGAGAUGUAGUUGAGGGAAAUUGGGUUGGGACAACAUUUAGUUUGGGUUUCCUAAGAUAUAUUUAUGCAGCCUUCAGUCACUUCCACGUUUCGUUCGGUUAUUGCUAACCACCCCAGUGGAGAAACUGUCCCAGAAUACUUUUACUGCCCACUGUACUGAUUCAUUCACUCAGCAUCAGGACACAAAGAUGCAGAGUCCAGAAGUCAUAUCACAGUAUCAACAUGCUUUACAAGGCGUGGCAUUAAAAAUAAGUGAGCGAUGAAGGACACAAGAGGUUUGAAAUCUAUAGAACCAGAAACUAGUCUCAUCAAUGGCUAAUGAAAAUGAAAGUUCUUUUCUGUCAAGCAUACACUCAGUGAUGAACCAUAUAUCACUCUUCAUAAAGCUAUUGUUUGAGUUGAAUUUUUGUGUCCCCCCACCCCAAAUUCUUAAGUUGAAAACCUAGUACUCAGUGUGAUGGUAUUAGGAAGUGGGGCCUUUGUGAUAUGAUUAGGUCAUGAGGGUAGAGCCCUCACAAAUGGAAUUAGUACUUUUAUAAGAGACCUUGGAGAGCCUCCUUGCCUCUUCUGCUAUGUGAGAUGUGAGAUCGCAGUGAGAAGAUGUCCUCAGUGAAGAAGUGAGCUCUCACCAGACAGUGAAUCUGCCUUGAUCUUGGACUUCCCAGCCUCCAGAACUAAGAGAAAUAAAUGUUUGUUUUUUAAGCCAUUCAGUCCAUGAUAUUUUUGUUUCAGCAGCUCUAAUGGGCUAAGAUACCCCCCAAUUUAUUUUUUCUUUUCUGACAAGAAUGUGUGAAAUAGAACUAAUCAUGAUUCUUGUAUUUGUGCAAACGUCUAGCCAUAUAAUAAACAGAGAUAUAUGUC